rnacentral:tRNA from 1 species
AGCCUUAUAAUGGAAUUUUAAACUGCAAAUUUAAAAAAAAAGCUAAAGCUUUUAAGGCUU